GUGGUUGUGUGUACUUUUCCGCAGUCACAAAAUGUAAUAGUGAUUUAUCUAAAGUUCCUUAGGAUCGUGCUAUACCCGUUUGCAACCAAUGAUUUCCAAACUUCCCUGCUGGCAUUAGAGGCUGCUGCCAAGCCCUCAGAUGCAUCCACCCAAUGGGAGUCUUUCAUGCUCUCCCCAGCCUCGCAGAUCGAAACUAGAUCUAGUUUAGUCUAAGUGUAGCUCCAGCGAUUACUNAUCUCUCCUGGUUUUAACUGAUAAUAUGAGACAGCAGUCUAAACAUGAAGCCAGCCAGGCUACCCGGGAGUCGCAGCCGCCAGCAUACUUCUGCCCUAGCAAUGCAUCAGCGCCUGGAACCCAAAGCAGGGCGGAGACAGCAGAUGAACGCUGCUGCCUGCAGCAGAGCUUUGUUAGCAUGCAGGGUAUUUGGUUGGUAUUGGCGUCUUUUUUUCCCCCUCUCUCCUCCUCCCUCUGCCCCGGAACAGCCUGCCCCGCUCACAGGGAGAGAGCCUGUCUGUGUGCCGCCGCCCCACUCAGAGCCCGCCCCUUUUUUCUUCGCCCUGGCCUUCCGUGUGGAACAAGCCGGGCACGUGCGCUGCGACGCUGGCUUUCCUGCCUGCCUGCCAGGGGCGAGGCUGCUGCUACCUUUCUCGGCCACAGCCGCUUGCCUGCUCCGUUUCUCUCGGCGAGCGCGGGGCAGUGUCGUUCGUGGGACAGCACUCAACACGCGUGUCAUUGCAGUCAGAGGCACCACCAACGGCUAUUUGAAUUUUGAAACGCCCCGGCCGGCGGCGUCGGGGCGGUUUUUAUUUUCUAUUUUUUGCCUGCUCGAAUAGAGAACCUGAAGUUGCUACAGAAGCACUUUGUAUCAAGAUUGCAGACAUAUAGUUAAAUUGCAGAACGUCCCUGUUGCGGAUCCAGAGGACCAGAUGUGGAUACCUGUUCUAGCAAAACAGUAGGACUUGGGAAGCUUCACUUUUGCAAAGGUAAACUCUAUGCACUUUUUACCACCUCAAAUAAUUCCAAAUCCUCAAAGUAUCUGUGAUCUUAAUGUAGAGAAGCUUCAUCAUAGGGGCAGUAUCUGCACAUUUUAUAAUCAAAGAUGGUAUUUGAAAAAUACUUUGCCUAAGGGGGUUGCAUAAUGAUGGAAUUAAGAAAAUAGUCAUUAUUGUGCUCAGCAGUUUUGAAGAGCUGUUAAGGUAUUCUGCUUUUAAGAAGGGCCUGAAGACGCUUGAAGCUGCUACUUUGCUUCAAGCUAAGUAAGUCUGACUGUUGUUAGUGCUGGAUAGGUAACGGCCAGAUAAUUGCAUCUAUUUUAUCUUGGAUUCAAGGUAUUUGGAAGGCACUAUCUUACCUACUCAUGGGGCAUGCAGAAAUGUUUUAAAAAUUAGAUUCAUUAGGAACACAGAAUUAUUGAGGCCUGCAUAACUGUUCCAUGUCUUUUAAAACGAUGGAUUUGUUUUUCUUGAAAAUCUUAAAUGUUUCUGGGGGAACACAUGUUAGUCUAAAAGAGAAAAAAGUCUGCUUCCAUUGUAUUAAACAGUUCUUCUUUUUCAUUAGAAUUCUGUGCCACCUACUUAA
ensembl:lncRNA